GAUGAACGCUGGCGGCGUGCCUAAUACAUGCAAGUCGAGCGAACGGACGAGAAGCUUGCUUCUCUGAUGUUAGCGGCGGACGGGUGAGUAACACGUGGAUAACCUACCUAUAAGACUGGGAUAACUUCGGGAAACCGGAGCUAAUACCGUAUAAUAUUUUGAACCGCAUGGUUCAAAAGUGAAAGACGGUCUUGCUGUCACUUAUAGAUGGAUCCGCGCUGCAUUAGCUAGUUGGUAAGGUAACGGCUUACCAAGGCAACGAUGCAUAGCCGACCGGAGAGGGUGAUCGGCGACACUGGAACGGAGCCACGGUCAAGAGUCCUACGGGAGGCAGCAGUAGGGAAUCGUACGCAACGGGCGAAAGCCUGACGGAGUAACGCCGAGUGAGUGAUGAAGGCCUUCGGAUCGUAAAAAUCUGUUAUGAGGGAAGAACAUAUGUGGAAGUAAAUGUGCACAGCUUGACGGUAACGAAUAAGAAAGCAACGGCUAACUACGUG
rnacentral:rRNA from 1 species